rnacentral:piRNA from 1 species
UAUCUUAAUGAUGGAUGAAUCUUUAGC